UGGAGUACAGAGCCAAAACAACAGCAAAUGUGUCACUGUCUGAAUACUUUUUUAAAAGACUGAACAUGUUUCAGGGUUGUUGUGCUAAGAAGAGAGCAGGGUUUUUGUGGAGGGAAUGUCUUAUGUUUGUGUUGUACCUGUGUGUUUACUUUACCCUAUAACCUUUGGAUAGCCCACCCUGACUGUCUCUUGUGUGAGCAUAUGACAAUCCUUUCACUGUGGCCACUGGUUCUGUAGACUUUGUAGCUGAGGUAUGCACAGUGGUGUAAAAAGUACCCAAUUGUCAUACUUUAGAAAAAGUAAAGAUACCAUAAUAGAAGAGGACUCAAGUAAAAACAGACGGACGGACGGACGGACAGACAGAGUACCACUGACAUCACCAGUAUCAGGUUGUGUGCAAGAUGGGCCAAUUCUCAGUUCUGGUUAUGCUGGCAGUUCUCUGUGCAUUCUUCGAGGAAAUUGAAGCAAAUCCAUUUGUUUACAACUAUGAGAGACU